AGUUAAAACUUUCAACAACGGAUCUCUUGGCUCUCGCAUCGAUGAAGAACGCAGCGAAAUGCGAUAAGUAAUGUGAAUUGCAGAAUUCAGUGAAUCAUCGAAUCUUUGAACGCACAUUGCGCCUCUUGGUAUUCCUUGAGGCAUGCCUGUUCGAGCGUCACUACAAACCCUCUCAUAGUCAUUAUGGUAUUGAUGGAAGUGACCUGUGUCUAUUGAUGUACUCACACCACUCCAUUGAAAUGAAUAGGCAGGACAAGUGACAACUGCAAUGGACUUUGUAAAUGGUUUUCAGACAUGAACCAGUUCUUUGCUAUGUUGUACGGCCUGUAUCCAUGGACUCCCAUCCAGUAUGCACUUUGGGUUGACCUCGAAUCAGGUAGGGAUACCCGCUGAACUUAAGCAUAUCAAUAAGCCGGAGGAA
rnacentral:rRNA from 1 species